GACGAAUGCUGGCUGCGUGCUUAACACAUGCAAGUCGAACGGUGAAGGAGGGCUUGCCCUCCGGAUCAGUGGCGAACGGGUGAGUAACACGUGGGCAACCUGCCCCUCACUCUGGGAUAACGCCGGGAAACCGGCGCUAAUACCGGAUACGACCAGAAGCGACAUCUCUUCUGGUGGAAAGAACUUCGGUGAGGGAUGGGCCCGCGGCCUAUCAGCUAGUUGGUGAGGUAACGGCCCACCAAGGCGACGACGGGUAGCCGGCCUGAGAGGGCGACCGGCCACACUGGGACUGAGACACGGCCCAGACUCCUACGGGAGGCAGCAGUGGGGAAUAUUGCGCAAUGGGCGAAAGCCUGACGCAGCGACGCAGCGUGAGGGACGAAGGCCUUCGGGUUGUAAACCUCUUUCAGCGGGGACGAAGCGAAAGUGACGGUACCCGCAGAAGAAGCACCGGCUAACUACGUG
rnacentral:rRNA from 2 species